CGAACGAGAGAGAAGGAGCUUGCUUCUUCGAUCGAGUGGCGAACGGGUGAGUAACGCGUGAGGAACCUGCCUCAAAGAGGGGGACAACAGUUGGAAACGACUGCUAAUACCGCAUAAGCCCACGGGUCGGCAUCGAUCUGAGGGAAAAGGAGCAAUCCGCUUUGAGAUGGCCUCGCGUCCGAUUAGCUAGUUGGUGAGGUAACGGCCCACCAAGGCGACGAUCGGUAGCCGGACUGAGAGGUUGAACGGCCACAUUGGGACUGAGACACGGCCCAGACUCCUACGGGAGGCAGCAGUGGGGAAUAUUGCACAAUGGGGGAAACCCUGAUGCAGCGACGCCGCGUGGAGGAAGAAGGUCUUCGGAUUGUAAACUCCUGUCGUUAGGGACGAUAAUGACGGUACCUAACAAGAAAGCACCGGCUAACUACGUGCCAGCAGCCGCGGUAAAACGUAGGGUGCAAGCGUUGUCCGGAAUUACUGGGUGUAAAGGGAGCGCAGGCGGACCGGCAAGUUGGAAGUGAAAACUAUGGGCUCAACCCAUAAAUUGCUUUCAAAACUGCUGGCCUUGAGUAGUGCA
rnacentral:rRNA from 1 species